AUUGAACGCUGGCGGCAUGCCUUACACAUGCAAGUCGAACGGCAGCGGACCUUCGGGUGCCGGCGAGUGGCGAACGGGUGAGUAAUAUAUCGGAACGUGCCCAUGUUGUGGGGGAUAACUACGCGAAAGACGUAGCUAAUACCGCAUAAAGCCCUGAGGGGGAAAGCGGGGGAGUUCUUCGGAACCUCGUGCGAUUGGAGCGGCCGAUGUCGGAUUAGCUAGUAGGUGAGGUAAAGGGACUCACCUAGGCGACGAUCCGUAGCGGGUCGUGAGAGGAUGAUCCGCCACACUGGGACUGAGACACGGCCCA
rnacentral:rRNA from 1 species